GGGUCUCCAUUCUGCAUUUACUGGGAAGCCCCUGGGGUGCUGUGUGUUUUCUGAAGCUGCCACAGCAAGUCACCACAAGGCUGUGACUGACACAACGCAAGUUUGCUGUCAUUCUGCAGACUAGUAGUCCAGCAUGGCCUCACGGGACAACAUGAAGCCGUUGAUACGACUGCAUCUCUUACUAGAAGAUUCUUAACCAAUUCCAAACUCAUCUAGGAUGACAUUUCCUAAUACAGUGUAGAAAAGUCUAAUCUGAGAAUGUGACGUCACUCACAUUCUCCAGUGGCUUUAUUAGAACUUCUGUAUUAAAAAAAACAUAAGGAAAAAACCUCUUGACUGUUAAGGGGGAACUUGAGGAGAACAGCAUCUCCAGGAAUUACUAAAUAUGAUGAUUUGAAGACUUUCUCAAGAUCUUCUCAGCAGGCUUUCAGAAGCUGGCUUCUACUUCUUUGACUUGCUAGUGACAUUUGGGGACAGUGCUUAGAGGACUCAGGUUGCCUUCCCCUUGCUGCUGGCUUCUGACCCUCUUCCUUCAUAUCCAAGGGGCCUCACGGAGUGCAGACUCGGUAUUACAUGGGGCAGUUCUCGGUAAUCUGGUAACACGUGUCUGAUGCCAGUUCCAGUUCUCUGGUUGAAUCUGAUAGGUACAGAUCCCA
rnacentral:lncRNA from 1 species